rnacentral:pre_miRNA from 1 species
AGUGGAGUUGCUGGGUCAUAUGUUAACACUCUGUUUAACCUUUUGAAGAACUGCCAUAAUGUUUUCCAAAGUGGCUGCAUCAUUUUGCAAUCCCGCCAGUAGU